UACGUAGGUGACAAGCGUUGUCCGGAUUUACUGGGCGUAAAGAGCGCGCAGGCGGUCGUUCAAGUCGAGUGUGAAAGCCCCCGGCUCAACUGGGGAGGGUCAUUCGAUACUGAUCGACUCGAAGGCAGGAGAGGGUAGUGGAAUUCCCGGUGUAGUGGUGAAAUGCGUAGAUAUCGGGAGGAACACCAGUGGCGAAGGCGACUAACUGGACAUGUAUUGACGCUGAGGUGCGAAAGCGUGGGGAGCAAACAGG
rnacentral:rRNA from 1 species